GACGAACGCUGGCGGCGUGCUUAACACAUGCAAGUCGAACGGUAAGGCCCUUCGGGGUACACGAGUGGCGAACGGGUGAGUAACGCGUGAGUAACCUGCCCUUCACUCUGGGAUAACAGUUGGAAACGGCUGCUAAUACCGGAUAUUCAGCUCCUGUCGCAUGGUGGGGGUUGGAAAGUUUUGGUGGUGGAGGAUGGGCUCGCGUCCUAUCAGCUUGUUGGUGGGGUGAUGGCCUACCAAGGCGUCGACGGGUAGCCGGCCUGAGAGGGCGACCGGCCACAUUGGGACUGAGAUACGGCCCAAACUCCUACGGGAGGCAGCAGUGGGGAAUAUUGCACAAUGGGCGGAAGCCUGAUGCAGCAACGCCGCGUGCGGGAUGACGGCCUUCGGGUUGUAAACCGCUUUCAGCAGGGACGAAGCGCAAGUGACGGUACCUGCAGAAGAAGCACCGGCUAACUACAUG
rnacentral:rRNA from 1 species